AAGGAAGAGCUGAUGUCUUUAUGGCACAGCAACAGGACUUGAGGCAGAACAGGCACAUGAAUUAGGCUUGAGAUUAUUCCAUAUCACGUGACAUCAUGCAGAAGACCAUACAGGUGUGGAGAGUUGGCUGACAGCAGCUGUUGCUCUGGAGUUACUGGGUGAUAAAGCUUGGAAACAGAAAAUAAUGAAGAUCAGUGUGUUUAAACAAGUGUUGAAGACUGAUAACAUGCACUGUCAGUGAACCUCAGAAGACCUGCAGAUUGAUAUUUAAUAGUAUGAGAUCCACACUGCUCAUACAAGUAGCAGGCUCAGAGGGAGAGCUUGCCUACUAUAUCUAGGUGUCAAUCUCUCCCACUAAAAUGUGGGAACAAACCAAGGACCUUUGUGUGGUGAUUUCCCACCAAUGGGCAGCUGAGUUCAAUCAUACUACUCUCUUGCUUGCCCUCCUCAAAAGAACAGGAUUAGAAAAUAUGGUGAAAAAUGUUCAUACCGUCACAUGUAGAAAAGAAUUAGCAUAAGGAGAUCAAUGUAUUGUUUAUGACUAACAGACUGGUGCAGUUAUCUCCUUAUGCUGAUUCUGAGUGAUGCAGGGAAAUGUGAGGAGGUCCAUAAUGCUUCAUUUAUGUUGCACCUUCAUGGUCACUCUUCCACUGCAGAUUCCCAUGUGGCAUUCCCUCUCUGUGGGCUGCAGCCUCUUUUAGGCCACAUCCACUGCUGCACCGCAUACUCCUCUAUGACUGCAUAUGGAAAUCUGCUCUGUGUGGUGCCCACGGGCUGCAGGAGGACAGCCUGCCCCACCCUGGGGCUCUCCUGGACUGCAGGGACAUAUUGCUCUGUGCCUGGAGCUCCUCCAGCUCUCCUUAGGCACUGAACUUUGUACCUGAAUGUCUCUUUCUAUCACAUUUCUCACUUCUUUCUCCCAACUGCUGUUGCACAGUAGUUUUUUCCUUUUGCAAAUCUGCUCUCAGAGGCACACCCAGCACUGCUCAUAGCUCUGCUCUGGCUAUGGCAGAUCCAUUCUGGAGCAGCUGGAGCUGGCUCUGAUUCGACAUGGAGCAGUGCUGGCCUUUGAUCACAGAAGCCACCCCUGCAGCCAUAUAAGUCCAAUACACAUUCUCCAUUUUUGGUUCUAGUUCACAUUGCACCAUCCUCACUGCAGGAGUACACAGAUGUGAAGUGUGCUCAUGAAUCUAAAAUGCAGCUAUCCACAAUGUCUCAGAGUUCUCUUGAGAAUGUCUUUUAUCGUUAAGGUCCUAUUGUUGUUUUAAAGUGACAGAUUGAAAAAACAGAGUUGGCAAGUAACUUCUAUUAUGGUGAAGAAUUCCACCAAAGGGGAGAAAAUAUGUCUUUCCAGCUUCACCAAGCUGAUGUACCAAGUCAGUAACUGAGUCAAAGCUAGCUCUGUCUUAUUUGGCUAAGAAUUCUGUUUCUUCAUAGGAUUAAUACUAAACUAUAAAGUAUAGUAUGAAGUAAAGUAUGAAGG
ensembl:lncRNA